rnacentral:rRNA from 1 species
GACGUAGGGCGCGAGCGUUGUCCGGAUUUAUUGGGCGUAAAGAGCUCGUAGGCGGCUUGUCGCGUCGUCCGUGAAAACUUGGGGCUCAACCCCAAGCUUGCGGUCGAUACGGGCAGGCUAGAGUUCGGUAGGGGAGACUGGAAUUCCUGGUGUAGCGGUGAAAUGCGCAGAUAUCGGGAGGAACACCAAUGGCGAAGGCAGCUCGCUGGGACGGUACUGACGCUGAGGCGCGAAAGCGUGGGGAGCAAACAGGG